ensembl:lncRNA
CGAGAGCGGAACUGGCGGGCGUAUAAUUGAAAAUACAUUUCCCUACAUGCAUCGCUCCCGCACACUCGAAAUCCGUACAGAAAGGAUUUAAAAUGGCCGGAAAGUCCCAAGCGGACCUUCCAGCAUCGGACCACCCCGAGACAAUUGCCAUGAAGGCUGAAGCAAGCAUGAACUAUCACAUCUGUGUAGACGAAAUCUACACCAGGGAACAGAAGGUGGACCAUGCGUACAGGUUCGGUACGCUGGUGUGCGAAAAGACCAUCCACUACACCGAGCGGGAGAAGGCACACAGAAAACAAGUGGAAUUCCUUCGGAGGGAGGUUGAAAGACGUGGCAAAAUUAUCCACCAAUUGGAACUGGACCUGGCGGCAUCCGAGGCCAGCUUGUCUGCCUCGCAGACAAAUCUGGACGCCACACAAAAUAACUGGAUGACCUCCAAUUUAUCAACGCCUCCCAAGAACACGACAACCAGAACCGCACAACCGCCUCCCAAGAUACGGAUUCGUCCCAGCCAUUGUGUUCGACAAUGAUUGACGACAUGGACGAGAACGGGAACGGAGAUACAUUUUGCACUACCAGGCCCCUGAAAACACUCCAGGCCCCUGUAAAACGAAGAUAUUGUAAAUAGUGUGAUUUUUUUUAUAUAGUGUGGUGUUGUAAAUAGUGU